UACGUAGGGGGCAAGCGUUGUCCGGAUUUAUUGGGCGUAAAGGGUCCGCAGGCGGUUUAGUAAGUUUGAUGUGACAGUUCCUGGCUCAACUGGGAAAGUGCGUUGGAAACUGCUAGACUUGAGGGCUUCAGAGGGAUGCGGAAUUCCGGGUGGAGUGGUGAAAUGCGUAGAUAUCCGGAGGGACACCAAAGGCGAAGGCGGCAUCCUGGGAAGUCUCUGACGCUCAGGGACGAAAGCUAGGGGAGCGAACGGG
rnacentral:rRNA from 1 species